rfam:Bacteroides pectinophilus CAG:437 genomic scaffold, scf95
CCACGCGGCUGGGGAGUCAGCGGUUCCCUGUACCUGCAAUCCGCUAUAGCAGGAGUUAUACUUUGCCUCGGACAGCAACGGAUGGAGCUGCCCGGAAGAAGUGGUGUUGACGCUUGGGCCUUUCGCAACAGGAAUUCAUGAACCAUGUCAGGACGGGAACGUAGCAGCAUUAAGUGAAACCUUCUGUGUGCCGGAAGCAAACCUGAGCCGAGCUAACUGGUCCGGUAACGUCUGUUUUUUGUUGUACAAAGCAAAGUGCGUGG